rfam:Otolemur garnettii contig101503, whole genome shotgun sequence.
AGGAGGAAGGCCUGGCUGGGUCUAUAGUGGGGAGGCCUGGCUGGGUCUAUAGUGGGGAGGCCUGGCUGGGUCUGCAGGAGGGAGGCCUGGCUGACUUCUGUUGUUCCUGUCUGCCACUGCUUUAUUCAUUUGCUUUGGUUUUGCAACAAGUGUGACUUUCUCUGUCUCUGAUCUGC